CAACAUAGGGAAAAUUUCUUGUGCUUACUAAAUGAAUGAAAGAAAUGAUAAAUUAAUUGAAAUGAAAAUGAAUGAAAAAACUGGCUGCAUCAGGGGAAUGAUCCCAUGUCAUUGCAUUACGUGUGCGAUGCUCUUACCAGUUGAGCUACCGUGGCGCCGUUUGCCCAUCCAUUUCUGGGCCAUUUAUUUAUUACUGCUAGAACUAACCCUGGGAGAGUUAGCCAGCGCCACCACUCACACACCUUGACAGCGGAUGUGGAACAUCCUUUCUGCCGCAGGCGUCAUGAGUACAUGAUCUUUUUGUGCAAAGGCCACUGGUCGAAAAACCCACACAUGCUACCCGAAUUUAUUACUUGACAUUUCGUGGCUUCAUGUUUUCGAGUUGUAUACACAGUAGGUACAAUUAUAACUUUUUUUAUGCUAUGCACAUCUUGCCGUUUUUGUGCUUAAAUGUUGCUACAAUUAUUUCUUGGGAAUGCAUAAUUUUCCAGUGUCAUUUGCUGUUCUACCUUACCUUUAGUGGGGCUUUCAUUCCUGCCUUAAUGCAGCCAUUGUAAUAGCCACAUUGUGUAUGUUAGUGUUUUUAACCUUGAAUUCCUUUUACUGUCAUGUCUUUUUUUUUCCAGACAUGACGGCUCUCUCUUAUAGGGGGCUGGGACUUGAGAUGCUUCACUGUGGGCAUCCUACCCAGUAUUUUCAGACAGCUUGGGUGGAAAAUUCAGCAGUCAAGGCCAGUGGCAGAAAAGGAACAUAGAUUUAUUGGAGACAUACAUAUCUUUAAAUAUCUUGUUGCGAGGUUUUGUGUAUACAUGCAGUGAAGUUUGUCUCCAGUGACACUUUUUUGUCCUUUAUCAAGUUGUAUUUUCACAUUUGUAUGUUUCAUUGUAUCGUCACAUUUCUAAUGUAUGAAGGUGAGUCAAAUGAACGUGAGCCAACCCAACCCGCGCACUAAUGGUUUGGUUCAUUAUCUGCAAGGCAUGCAUGUAGCACACAGGCAUCUCUCAUUUACAGCAGUGGCACACAGGUGUGAGGAUAAAUGUUCUUUAAUGCUGUCAUACACUGGGUUGAACAUGGUUGCAUGACAUAACGGACGCUCCAAAAGUUGAACAGCGUGGUGUCGUGAGGGUUUUGACAGCUGACGGUGUUUCCCGAAAAGAAAUUAGUCGCCGUAUGGCUGCCGUGUACGUUGAACAUUGCAUUACAUUGGCCACUGUGAAGCGUUGGAGCAAACUGUUCAAAGAAGGACGUGAAAGUUGCAAAGACGAUUCAAGACCGAGCCAAAGCCAUCGUGCAAUCACCCCCAACACAAUUGCAAAAAGUUAGACAAUAACGGAGGAUAAAUUAGACAAUAACGGUGGAUAAGCAUCGAUGAACUGGCAGAUCGUGUGAACCUUAGUCACGGUUCGGUUCACGCCAUAAUUCAUCAACAUCUUAGUUAUCGGCUCUUGUGUGUGCAAUGGUUGCUCAAGAUUUCAAACGACCGCCAGAAGACGGAGAGGUUCGACGCUGUCUUGACUCAUCUGAUCCAGUAUCGCAGGCGAGGGUAAGCAAAAGACUUGCAAAUGACUUCUUGUCUGCAAUUGUGGCUGGGGACGAAUCAUGGUGCCACUACUACGAGACUGAAACACGAUGGCAAAGCUUACAGUGGAAACAUUCGAAUUCACCAUCCCAAAGAAAGCAAAGGCAUUCAUUUCCGCCGGAAACAUGAUUUUUUUUUCAAUUGUCAGGGGCCUUUAUUGAUCAAAUUUGAUAAACCUGUAGAGACUAUGAAUUGUUUCCAAUAUUUUAAAACGCCGGAUCAGCUGCAUGUCGCAAUCAAGAACAAACGUCAUGAAAAAUUGACAAAUGGGGCCACCUUGCUCCACGACAUUGCCCGUCCCCACGUCGCUGAUGUGGUUAACACAAAACUGGCCAAGUUCAAGUGGGAAACGCUGCAACAUCAGCCAUAGAUCUUAGACCCGUCGCCUUGCGACUUCCACAUUUUGGGGUAAUUGAAGAAACAGCUCAAGGGAACCAGAUUCGUGUCGGACGAUAAUGUGAAAGAGUCAGUUACAGACAUUUUGAAGCAGCAACCCAAGGAGUUUUAUGAGACAGGAAUCACACGACUCGUUAGUCAGUGGGACAAAUGUCAAAAUGGUCAUGAAGACUACUUUUAAAUAAUGUAUCUUGUUUGUCAUAUAUUCGCAUUGGCUCACUUUCAUUUGACUCUCCCUCAUAUAUUUUGCAGAACUCCUGCUUUCUACAUGUGCUCUCUGUUGCAACUAUAAUAUCGCUGCAUUUACUCACAAUACACGACUGCUGACAGCUGCUCCUGCACAAUACAUUGGAACAAAGGACAGCGUCAUUGAGAUUUUCCCCCGGCCGCUGCAUUUGUACAAAAAUGUAAACAAGGUUCUUGAAUGACAAAGUUAAAAUUUCAUUAAAAUAUUUGUCCUCAACUUGCUCAUUUCAUAGCCUUUGCAUUUUUAAUAUCAGCGGCAUGCACUGCUUUGCUGGUUUCAAACCGAUAUAGUUCUAAAGUUUGUGUGAUAUUUUCUUUACUUAUUAAAUAGACAAAAAACAUGGCAGCAUUGAUAUCAGUUAUUUCGGGUACAACUUUUAGGACAUACGAGUACAUGCUUUCAUGAAAAAAUACAUAUUUUACUGUGUCUUGACAUUGCGUAGUAUUCAAGACAUUGUUUGCAGCAUCUUUGGCAAUGGCAAUGCAGUUAUUAUUCAUAUGUUUGAUCCCUCGACAAAUUCAUAAUGAGGAGGCCGAGCUGCAACGUUAGCCCCCCCGAACAAAAUUUCUGACUACGCCACUGUCCAAGGACCAUCUAUGGCGACAUCAUGCUUUACUGUGGUCAUACGAAAAUGCGUAUACAUUAUGAUAUAUUCUACUUUAGACAUAAUAAAUUUUGUGAACACCAAGCAGUGUAAUUAAGACAUCAAUUAUUGCAGUUGUAAUUGGUGUUCAGGGCCACUUGCCAACAAGAUGCAAAGUAAAAGAAAGCUAUAAUAACUGUUAACUUCCAAGCAGCAAAUGAACAUUGGAGAUGCUUUGGGUAAACCUGAAUAGGCAUUUUAAGUUAUAGAGUGAAUUAUACUGGUCUUCUGGCAUUAUGCUAUGCGUUAACUUUUACAUUUUUGGUCCCUCUAUUAUGGUGCUUGUUAUUGUUGUAUUUAUUUUUAUGUCAUUGUUCAGUCUUGCGAGGACAGCCACUGAAAAGCGAGGCUUAAAACAAGCAACUAUGCAUCAUUCUUCAAAAGCCACUGGGCCUGCCACCAGCUGACGUGCCUUGCUUCAGCCUCCUUAGUCCUGUACCUUAGUAUUAGGAUGCGGGGUCAGUUUUUCUAGACAUGCCAUUCGUAAUAUAUAUAUUCUAGUCAGUCACUGCUAAGCAUGGCAUGUCAUUCAUUACCUAUGUAUAAAUUUAGUCACAAUCAAUGCAAGCUAAGCAGAUGCAUAUAAUUUGCAAUAAAAAUUUGGAUUUUGCU